AUUGAACGCUGGCGGCAGGCCUAACACAUGCAAGUCGAGCGGAUGAGUGGAGCUUGCUCCAUGAUUCAGCGGCGGACGGGUGAGUAAUGCCUAGGAAUCUGCCUGGUAGUGGGGGACAACGUUUCGAAAGGAACGCUAAUACCGCAUACGUCCUACGGGAGAAAGCAGGGGACCUUCGGGCCUUGCGCUAUCAGAUGAGCCUAGGUCGGAUUAGCUAGUUGGUGAGGUAAAGGCUCAUCAAGGCGACGAUCCGUAACUGGUCUGAGAGGAUGAUCAGUCACACUGGAACUGAGACACGGUCCAGACUCCUACGGGAGGCAGCAGUGGGGAAUAUUGGACAAUGGGCGAAAGCCUGAUCCAGCCAUGCCGCGUGUGUGAAGAAGGUCUUCGGAUUGUAAAGCACUUUAAGUUGGGGGGAAGGGAAGUAAGUUAAUACCUUGCUGUUUUGACGUUACCGACAGAAUAAGCACCGGCUAACUUCGUGCCAGCCGCCGCAGUAAAAC
rnacentral:rRNA from 1 species